rnacentral:rRNA from 1 species
CUACGGGCGGCACCAGUGAGGAAUAUUGCACAAUGGGGGGACCCUGAUGCAGCAACGCCGCGUGGAGGAUGACGCAUUUCGGUGUGUAAACUCCUUUUAUAUGUCAAGAAAAUGACGGUAGCAUAUGAAUAAGCACCGGCUAACUCCGUGCCAGCAGCCGCGGUAAUACGGAGGGUGCAAGCGUUACUCGGAAUCACUGGGCGUAAAGGACGCGUAGGCGGGUUGGAAAGUCAGGUGUGAAAUCCUACAGCUUAACUGUAGAACUGCACUUGAAACUUCUAAUCUAGAGUAUGGGAGGGGGAGAUGGGAUUAGUGGUGUAGGGGUAAAAUCCGUAGAUAUCACUAGGAAUACCUAAAGCGAAGGCGAUCUCCUGGAACAUUACUGACGCUAAGGCGUGAAAGCGUGGGGAGCAAACAGGAUUAGAUACCCCCGUAGUC